rnacentral:rRNA from 1 species
GGAAUAUUGGACAAUGGCCGGAAGGCUGAUCCAGCCAUGCCGCGUGCGGGAAGACGGCCCUAUGGGUUGUAAACCGCUUUUGCGGGGGAGCAAUAAGGUCCACGCGUGGGCCGAUGAGAGUACCCUGCGAAUAAGCAUCGGCUAACUCCGUGCCAGCAGCCGCGGUAAUACGGAGGAUGCGAGCGUUAUCCGGAUUUAUUGGGUUUAAAGGGUGCGCAGGCGGCUUGUUAAGCGGGAGGUGAAAUGCCGGCGCUCAACGUCGGAAGUGCCUCCCGAACUGGUGAGCUUGAAUGACUCUGCCGUGGGAGGAAUGUGUAGUGUAGCGGUGAAAUGCUUAGAGAUUACACAGAACACCGAUUGCGAAGGCAUCUCACGAAGGGUUGAUUGACGCUGAGGCACGAAAGCGUGGGGAUAAAACA